CUGUGCCAAGUUUAAUAAAAGACAAGAGAAAGAGAGGCGCUUAUAUUAAUUUGCCACAUUUCGUUUAACAAACCCCACGAAUACAUCAAGAACAUGUAAACACAACGUAUGCAAAUAGUAAAACAAUUAAAUAGCUCAUACAUCAAUUUAGUACCUCAGGCUUGGAGUGCAAUCUGCCUAUUCUCUAAAUAAUACCGAUACAAAGAAAUUCAUCAAGAUUUCUCCAAUAUUAGAAGACACAAUCAAUGAUUUAAGCAAGCACAAUAGAAGCGCAAAGCAUGAAUAAGCUUGAGAUUCCGGUCCAUGCAAUCCUGCUCACUCCAUUUUUAUCUUUUGCAGGUGGUGUGACUAUAAAACAGUCGAGAGAGCAAUAUUGUUAGCAAGAAAACACAGCAAAUUAAACAUGUAUCUGUUAUUGCUGAUAAGUAAAUUAAAAUAUGUACAUAGACAAGUAAACCAACUCAAACAACUUUAUCUUGAAUUCACAUUUGACUGGGAGAUCAAUUCUAAACGAGGAAGAGAUGGACACAUAUGAUUUAGACAUAGACGCUUUGGUGCUCCAUUAACCCUCGCCUCCAGUUCAGUGACUACAAAUGUCUAAAUAAGGUACUUGCACAAUCACACAAAAAAAAAGGUACUUCCACACUUUAUUUGUAAACUAAUUGUGAUCAUAAGUCGAGUAGCAUAACAAAUACGGCCACUUUUCAUUUGACCUGCCUCAACAUUCUCAGGGUACCUAGCAUAUAACUUCAGACAGAGUUAAACCAAAAUAACUUGGCAGAAGUUGUAAUAAUACAGAGUAAAAGAUUGUCAUCCUCUAUCCCUGUUCUUCUUUUCUUUGCCAGCCUUAGAAGAACCUUCAAAUUGGCAUGACUUAAGAGGUGGCAAACAGAUGAUGCAAAAGAUUACUUUGGAAGGACAAAGCUGCCAAAGGGGGUGGGUGUUAAAAGGGGACAUUAAAAACUUAAUCCUAGCUAUAGGCUAUAGCAGAAGACAAGACUAUUAAGACAUAUCCAAAGAAAACCGACAUCCAUGAGAAGCUGCUCUAUAUGAUACCAGUGCAAAUACUAACCCGAUAAGCAGGAAAACGAUCAAAAUCACUUAUUGGAUAAGCAAGAACUAGCUUCUUAAUAUUGGUCAAAGUUUUGGCUGAAAAUCUAAGAUUGAACACCACUAAGAAGUAGGACGGACCUUCAGCUAAGUGCUCACUAACAACAACUAAUGAUUGUGUUUGGAGAAGCAACUCAAAACUAUUUUGCCACGGUACGGAAACUUGAAUAAAAUGGAAGAACAGGAAAUUUGAAAGAGAAGCAAAGAAAUACUUAAAUUUGUAUGAAUUUAGUUUUACACCAGGUGUUAUUCAUUUUUUUGUAUUUUUCCUGUUCCUCUCUAAGCCUCUAAGGAGCAAAUGAAGACAGAAUUCUAAACAAGCUUGUAAGUUGUAUCUGAUACAUAAUUUACAGCACAGAAUGAACAAAACUUGUUGAGUGCAUUGAUAAAUCCAAUAUUAACAUUCUUGUUUGUCCUUUUGCAAGAGGGAACAGAAUAUUCUAUUUUGUUUCAUUUCAAAAAUCAUAUACCGGUAAAGUUGUUGCCAUAUAACCAGGAGGUCACAGGUUCGAGCCGUGGGAAUAGCCUUUUGCAGAAAUACAAAGAAGGCAUCGUACGAUAGACCCUUGUGGUAUGGCCCUUCCCUGGACCCCGCGCAUAGCGGGAGCUUUUCAGUGAAAACUUUUUCCUGGUGGAACAAGUCAAGAAAUAUAACUAUGCUGUCAAUUUUCAAAAUUGGGGGAUUUGAAUUAUCGAAAAAGUACAAGAUAUCAAGUCAACCUUUGAAUUUGCAAGUCUUACUAUAACUAGUGUAUUAACAUUUAACAAUAGCAGGCCCCUAUAAAAACGAACAAACUAAAUUUACAACUUCUUUAUUAGAAAAUGGAUCAACGAAUGAUAAGUGCAAACACCUAUGAUUCAAGUUCAGAAAAUUUAAAGGAGUAAUGGUCAAUAAUUAAUAAUAAUCAAAUCAAAUUGCUACAUACUCCGAGAUAGUUAAUUAAUUGACGAAUAUUAAUUCGGUGGUAAACAAAGUAGAAACAUUGAGCAAUUAAUCUCAAUUACCUGGCGUUGUCCCAGAAGCAGAAGAACCUGAACUUUUUGGAGCAGCAGCUGCAGACAAAAACGAAAAAUCAAAUUAAUAGUAAACGGACAAUUGAGACAGCCCCAAUUAUUUACUAAAGAAAUUUUUACACCAUUUCGAAAAAUUGUUUUCUCCUAUAAAAAUAUGAAAAAGGACAAAAAGUGAAGAAAAUCAGAUUUGAAGUAGUUUAAGGUCUUGAUCCCAGGAAAAACAGAAAAUUACCAACUUCAAAAUCAAUUAAUUGAAUCCCAAUUCACACAGCUCUUCAUCUUCUAAAACAAAAACGGAACAAGAUCUGGGUUUUAUUUUAAACUGAAAGGCCAUUGAUUUAGUACUAUUAAUUAAGUGAAGAAAAAUGCAUAAAAAUCUUACCUUUACAAGCGCUAACAUCGCCGGGGAUAUUACAGGCCUUAGGAAGCGCAAGUGCUUGAGUAACAUUAAUACCAAGAGAAGGCAACAACGUAGGAUUUUCGUACAGGUUGCAGAGACAAUCAAGAUCUUUGGUCACGGCUUCUCUAAGUGGGUCACAGCAAGAAGCCGGUGGUUUUGUUGAGUUGAGGUAAGGUGCACAUGGUACUAAUUGAGAAGCACAUGACGGUGUUUGGGCCACCGUUAGUGUGGUGGUUGCCGCCAUCAGCGCCACCGCGAUCAGCAAGGAGAGUUUUGA
rnacentral:lncRNA from 1 species